GCCAGUGUGGCGUAAUGGUUUGAAUAUUGGACUAUGACUCUGAAGACCAGGGUUCGAUUCCCCGAUGGGCC